GGACGGGUGAGUAACGCGUGAGGAUCUGCCCUCAGGAGGGGGACAACGACUGGAAACGGUCGCUAAUACCCCAUAUGCCGAGAGGUGAAACGUUUUUUCGCCUGAGGAUGAGCUCGCGUCAGAUUAGCUAGUUGGUGGGGUAACGGCCUACCAAGGCGACGAUCUGUAGCUGGUCUGAGAGGAUGAUCAGCCACACUGGGACUGAGACACGGCCCAGACUCCUACGGGAGGCAGCAGUGGGGAAUUUUCCGCAAUGGGCGAAAGCCUGACGGAGCAAGACCGCGUGAGGGAGGAAGGUCUGUGGAUUGUAAACCUCUUUUCUCGGGGAAGAAGAACUGACGGUACCUGAGGAAUCAGCAUCGGCUAACUCCGUGCCAGCAGCCGCGGUAAUACGGAGGAUGCAAGCGUUAUCCGGAAUUAUUGGGCGUAAAGCGUCCGUAGGUGGUUAAUCAAGUCAGCUGUUAAAGAGCGGAGCUUAACUCCGUUAGAGCGGUUGAAACUGAUUGACUAGAGUUUGGUAGGGGUCGAGGGAAUUCCCAGUGUAGCGGUGAAAUGCGUAGAUAUUGGGAAGAACACCGGUGGCGAAAGCGCUCGACUGGGCCUGAACUGACACUGAGGGACGAAAGCUAGGGGAGCGAAAGGGAUUAGAUACCCCUGUAGUC
rnacentral:rRNA from 1 species